rnacentral:misc_RNA from 1 species
AAGUCGAUAACAAGGUUUCCAGUAGGUGAACCUGCGGAAGGAUCAUUACAAAUAAAGCUGGGUAGGAAGUGGGGGGUUCUCGAUCUGUAAAGUGGUAGAGCGAACAGUCCGGGCCGCCCUCCCCGAAACUGUCUCACAUGUCCCCCACAGCCUGAAGGCCGAAUUACAACCCUUGAUUAUCUACACUUGUUGCUUUGGGGUGCUCAGUGCCCCAGAGGACCCAACUCUCUUGCAUUUAGUGACGUCUGAGUACUAUGUAAUAUUUAAAG